rnacentral:rRNA from 1 species
UACGUAGGGUGCAAGCGUUGUCCGGAAUUAUUGGGCGUAAAGGGUGCGUAGGCGGCGCGGUAAGUCGGGUGUGAAAUCUCGGGGCUUAACUCCGAAACUGCAUUCGAUACUGCCGUGCUUGAGGACUGGAGAGGAGACUGGAAUUUACGGUGUAGCGGUGAAAUGCGUAGAUAUCGUAAGGAAGACCAGUGGCGAAGGCGGGUCUCUGGACAGUUCCUGACGCUGAGGCACGAAGGCCAGGGGAGCAAGCGGG